AAUGAACGUUGGCGGCGUGGAUUAGGCAUGCAAGUCGAGCGAGAACCCGCAAGGGGGACAGCGGCAAACGGGGUAGUAAUGUGUCGGAACGUGCCCUCUGGACGGGGAUAGUGGCGGGAAACUGCCGGUAAUACCCGAUGAACUCGAGAGAGCAAAGGGGUGAUUCCGCCGGAGGGGCGGCCGACAUGGUAUUAGCUAGUUGGCGGGGUAACGGCCCACCAAGGCUGUGAUGCCUAGGGGAUGUGAGAGCAUGAUCCCCACCAUUGGGACUGAGACACUGCCCAGACACCUACGGGUGGCUGCAGUCGAGAAUCUUCGUCAAUGGGCGAAAGCCUGAACGAGCGACGCCGCGUGCGGGAUGAAGGCCCUUGGGUUGUAAACCGCUGUCGAGGGGGAUGAAGGCAUUCAGGUACUCCUGAAUGUUUGACAGAGCCCUGGAGGAAGCACGGGCUAAGUUCGUGCCAGCAGCCGCCGUAAUAC
rnacentral:rRNA from 1 species